rnacentral:rRNA from 1 species
UGGGGGAUAUUGCACAAUGGGCGAAAGCCUGAUGCAGCGACGCCGCGUGGGGGAUGAAGGCCUUCGGGUUGUAAACUUCUUUUGCUCUGAACAAGGCAUGCCUUUGGGGUGUGUUGAGUGUAGGGGUUGAUUAGCGCCGGCUAACUACGUGCCAGCAGCCGCGGUAAUACGUAGGGCGCGAGCGUUGUCCGGAAUUAUUGGGCGUAAAGGGCUUGUAGGUGGCUGGUUGCGUCUGUCGUGAAAGCUCAUGGCUUAACUGUGGGUUUGCGGUGGGUACGGGCUGGCUUGAGUGCAGUAGGGGAGGCUGGAAUUCCUGGUGUAGCGGUGGAAUGCGCAGAUAUCAGGAGGAAUACCGGUGGCGAAGGCGUGUCUCUGGGCUGUUACUGACGCUGAGGAGCGAAAGCGUGGGGAGCGAACAGG